AACGAACGCUGGCGGCAGGCCUAACACAUGCAAGUCGAGCGCCCAGCAAUGGGAGCGGCAGACGGGUGAGUAACGCGUGGGAACCUUCCUGAUAGUACGGAAUAGCCCAGGGAAACUUGGAGUAACACCGUAUACGCCCGUAAGGGGAAAGAUUUAUCGCUAUCAGAUGGGCCCGCGUAGGAUUAGCUAGUUGGUGAGGUAAUGGCUCACCAAGGCGACGAUCCUUAGCUGGUUUGAGAGAAUGACCAGCCACACUGGGACUGAGACACGGCCCAGACUCCUACGGGAGGCAGCAGUGGGGAAUCUUGGACAAUGGGCGCAAGCCUGAUCCAGCCAUGCCGCGUGAGUGACGAAGGUCUUCGGAUUGUAAAGCUCUUUUGCCAGGGACGAUAAUGACGGUACCUGGAGAAUAAGCCCCGGCUAACUUCGUGCCAGCCGCCGCUGUAACAC
rnacentral:rRNA from 1 species